UGCAAUGUGGCAGGUCAGCAGCGGUACAGUUCUUUGACUUAUGAUGUGGCAGGCCCAUAAGUCAAAGAACUGGUCAGCAGCGGUACAAGUCAAAGAACUGUACCGCUGCUGACCUGCCACAUCAUAA
rnacentral:pre_miRNA from 1 species